UUAUAUACUGCAGCUGUGCUAUUUGAGCAGUCAAAUUGCAUUGACCGUAUAUUCAUAUGUGAUAUACAGUCACUGACCGUAUAUCACCUUGUUUAUGACGUUGACAAUGUGUUUCCGUAGAGUUUUAUUUAUGACGUCAAUAAAACAUACAGGUUCGCGGCAAUUUUACGUUGUCUGCUCACAAUUAAAGAAUGACGGUUUUUACCCUAAAUACUUCAUUUUGAACAGUUAUAAGAGUUGCAGUAUAUAAAGAAUAACCAUACAUUGUCUCGAAAUAUCAAUCUGUUAUUUGUACUCGGCUCG
rnacentral:lncRNA from 1 species